ACUCAAAUGAAUUGACGGGGGCCCGCACAAGCGGUGGAGCAUGUGGUUCAAUUCGACGCAACGCGAAGAACCUUACCUGGGCUCGAAGCGCAGUGGACCGGGGUAGAAAUAUCCCUUCCCCUUAAAAGGCUGCUGCGGAGGUGCUGCAUGGCUGUCGUCAGCUCGUGUCGUGAGAUGUUGGGUUAAGUCCCGCAACGAGCGCAACCCUUAUCCCUAGUUGCCAUCGGGUCAAGCCGGGCACUCUAGUGAAACUGCCUCGGAUAACGAGGAGGAAGGUGGGGAUGACGUCAAGUCCUCAUGGCCUUUAUGUCCAGGGCUACACACGUGCUACAAUGGUCGGUACAAACCGUCGCAAACCCGUGAGGGGGAGCUAAUCGGAAAAAGCCGGCCUCAGUUCGGAUUGGAGUCUGCAACUCGACUCCAUGAAGCUGGAAUCGCUAGUAAUCGCGGAUCAGAACGCCGCGGUGAAUACGUUCCCGGGCCUUGUACACACCGCCCGU
rnacentral:rRNA from 1 species